AAACAUUCCCCGAGUUUAAUGGUUCCGCCCGGAUAUAUGGACAGAUUCCUCCAACACACGUCGGCUGACAUCAACGUUAUUUAGGGUGAGGAAGCGUGGAGUCCAGACAGCGCCACCUGGUGUACAACAAUGAGCCUGCAAGGACAAUCCGAAGGUGUUGACCUGCCUGCCCUGCAGGAGCACCUCUGCGGCCUGUGGAGCAGGAAAGAGCAGGAGCAGCUGCGGCAGUUUUUAGCGAGCAGUUUCUCGCAGAUGCAGGAGCCGUUGGCCGGUCUGCUGGACUUCCUGCAGGGCUGCUUUAGUGUCCAGAAGGGCAAGACCAGCACGCUGCACCAGUUCAUUCUCACAGAGUUCAUGCGCUGGAGGACCAGGAAUCCCCAGGCCAGUCUGAAUGACCUGAGGGAAGAAGAGCGACUGCGUUUGCAGAAGAGAGCCCUGGGGCUCCUCACAGACUCUCAUCCCGGGUACAUGGACCCCCUGCUGGAGAUUUAUCAGCUGAGCUCACUGAAAACACCACUGCUGCUGGAACAUGUGGACUUCCUGCAUGACUGCUGCUGCUUCAAAGAGGCGUUGAUGUUCAGUGUCAAAGUGGAACUGCAGAAGCAUCUGGACAUGGAGAAGAUGUGUGUUCCUCUCAUUCUGCUGGACAAGCUGUCUCUGGCCGAGCUGUAUGUGCGUGACCUUCCUGACCUGCAGCAGCGUCUGGUCUCACUGCUGGACUCCUGGUGCGAGCCCAACUUCAACAUGCAGGCACUGCUCAGUCAGUACCCAAGCGUGGUUCUCUCGAAACAUCAGACGGAGCAGAUCCAGCCCAAGCUGCUCAGUAAACAUGUGUUCAGACUCAUGGAGAAGUUCUGCAUUGAUCCAGGUCUGUGCUCUAAUUCUGUCUACAAGAGGAAGCUGGAUUCACUGAGGUUUCUCAUGUACAAAACCUUUGGCGAGAAAAGCAUGUCGGAAGAGAACUGGAGAGACCAUGUUCAGGCCAUGAUUGAAGGCAAUGCAGAGCUCCAGAUUCAGUUGGUGCAGCUGUUGGUGAAACACUGCAGCCUCCAGACUGCUGCCCAGUGGGCUGCACAUUACAACUUACCCAGAAACAGGCUUCCCCUAGGAGUCUGGGACAAAAUUCAGAGCCUCUCCCGCAAGAACCAGCUAGAGAUGUGUUUUGUGAGCGGUCCACCCGAAUCUUGGACACCUCUUCAGUCUGAUAUGCAAAAAUACUAUCAGCUGCCUCUGCCCAGAGAAAACGUCCUCUUUGUAGAGUCAUUAGAUGAAGUUGAGCAGUGCAGAGAAGCUGUUUUAAAGUCUGGUUGUGUGGUGGGAAUAGACAUGGAAUGGAGAGCCGGUUUUGGCACAGUAUCCUCUCAGCGUGUGGCUCUGAUCCAGCUGGCCGUACAGGAACGGGUGUUUCUGUUGGACCUUUGUGCUCACGCCAUUAGCCACCACAGCUCCACAGUGAACUUCAUCAGAGCUCUGUUGUCUGACAAGAACAUCCUCAAACUGGGUUAUGGGAUGUCUGGAGACUUACGAAGUCUGGUCAGCACGUGGCCGGAGCUCAGGGAAGAGCCAAUUAAAAUGGAAGGAGUUCUGGAUCUGCUUCAUGUUCAUCAGGAGAUUCAGCGGUGCUGGUUGGGAAAUAAAGGGUGUCGGUCAGUGGAAGUGAGUGAGGGACCAGCGGAGAAGGGCCUCAGUUUGCUAGUGCAGCAGAUAUUAGGAAAACCACUGAACAAAACCGAGCAACUCUCCAACUGGGAACGCCGACCUCUCCGGACCAGCCAACUCCGCUAUGCGGCCACUGAUGCGUACUGCCUGCUGGAUGUCUACCUCAUCCUCUCCCGGGACCCAAAGGCAUUUGGUUUGCCAGAGGACCUCCGCUCCAUUCCCUCAGCCCAACUGGCCAAGAGCCGUGAGGAAAAGAAACCCAAAGAGAAGAACAAGCAGUCUAAAAGAAGAGAGGCUCGGCAGAAGUCAAAUGAGCCCCACUCCAUGGAUGACUGUUUAAAGAUGACUUUGGAGUAUGAAGGGCCUACUAUCACACCACCAGAGCUACGAGUGGUCUGUGAUAACAUGCUGCAGGGUCUGGGACGUUUUUUGCGCUGUCUGGGGGUGGAUGUCAAGAUGCUAGAAAACACAGAUGACCAUAAAGUAGCAGCAGAGCUGGCUCGUGCUGAAGGUCGUGUUAUCCUCACCGCUGGUCAGCCCUAUCAAACUUUACGCUCACAGGUCGGUGAGGGCCGUUGCCUGACUCUGGACUGCUCAGAAAAGGCACGUGACCAGGCGGUGCACGUUCUCAGACAUUUCCACGUCCACCUCACCCCUGCAGACAUUUUCAGUAGAUGCCAGGUUCCAUAAAGCGCAAUAUUUGGGGUUUUCGCUGGAUGAGGAUCUUAUAUUUCAGACGGCACUUGACGCAGUUCCGUUGGCUUUACUUCUCGUGUGUGGAGCUCGUCUUCCAGAGGCAGAUCAAUGCAGAAUUUCAAAGAACAACUACUGUACUUCUGGUACCGAAAUUUAUGUCUGUGUUUGACUGUCACACUCCCAAGCUACUGACGCCAUUUUGUGCCAAAGAUGGAGCACUUGGAAGAAGACUGGAGAUCAUAAUGGAAAUGCUGCAGUGAUUGACUUCCUCCCCAGCACUCUUCGAUUGAGAGGACCAGAGAGAUUGUUCCUCGGUAUCUUACAAAAAAUACCUUGGAGAACAAGGGGGACAUCUUAUCAAAGAAUUCAACUUAGGACACUGAGAACUUGGAGGAACUUGAACAGCUCAUAAUGGCCAUUAAUGUGACCCCAAAGCGUGGAGCUUCUACAAGCAACUGCCCAAAGAACAUUGGGAUCCUCAUUAAGGGCGUGGAAGUCAUUACAGGACUUGGAGAUAUUGCAAGGGCUUGCAUUGUCCUCUUUGGCUUGACCUACGCGCUGAAUCUUGAUUAUCCCAGACUACUGAAGUACACCUUUGAGGUGUUCCAAUUUUUUUUCUUGGAACUGGAUGAUUCAAAGCUUUCUAACAAAGUCCAGUCCCUCAAGAACAAACUUCAGGCUUGAAAUGGGACUGUAUUGCAGUGCAGACUUUUGUGCUACACAAUGUUCAUCUUCUACAGAGCUUGGGAAUUGCACAUUUGAAAGUGCUACGUUUGUAAGUUGGCACUGUUUUGUCCAAAAAAUGUCGUACAUUUCAAUUGUUGUAAAUUCAAAGUACAAAUGUAUUUUACUUAGUACAAUUUGCACUUUUAUUAUUUAUGUUUUGGCACAUGCCAUUAUGGAGUAUUUUUCUUUAAGAUCUUUACUGCUCCUUUUUUUUAAAGUUGAAGUCAGCAUUUUGUCCUUUUCAAAGUUCUGAAAAAGUUUGAAAUGCUUGAGCAAACUUCUGGCUUGAAAAAAGAGACAGUAGUAGUUGCAGUGUACAUGAUUUGCUACACAAUGUUUAGCUUCUACAGAGCUUGGGAAUUAGACAUCUGAAAGUGUUAUGUUUGUAAGUUAGCACUGAUUUGGACUCUUAUCCCACGAAUGUCAGUGAUAUUUCUAGUUCAAAGUACGAAAUGUUUAUUGCUCUGUACAAAUUACACUUUUCUGCUUUUUUUUGGUACAUGCACCUCUGGAGGAUUUUCCUUUAAGAUCAUUAUUGACCCAAUUUAGUGGGAUGUGAGAUGAGAAAGCAUGGAAACAGGUUUAUAGACACAUCACAUCAUUCUGUAUGUAAUUUAUUUU